rnacentral:rRNA from 1 species
UACGAAGGGUGCAAGCGUUACUCGGAAUUACUGGGCGUAAAGCGUGCGUAGGUGGUUCGUUAAGUCUGAUGUGAAAGCCCUGGGCUCAACCUGGGAAUGGCAUUGGAAACUGGCGACCUAGAGUGCGGUAGAGGGUAGUGGAAUUCCCGGUGUAGCAGUGAAAUGCGUAGAGAUCGGGAGGAACAUCCGUGGCGAAGGCGAGUCCCUGGACAACUCCUGACACUGAGGCACGAAAGCUAGGGGAGCAAACAGG